rnacentral:tRNA from 1 species
GCACCUAUAGCUCAGUUGGUAGAGCGCAUGACUAGUACUUAUACAAAGAUUUAUCAUGAGGUCCUCGGUUCAAGUCCGAGUAGGUGCA